UACACUCCUACGGGAGGCAGCAGUGGGGAAUUUUGGACAAUGGGCGAAAGCCUGAUCCAGCCAUGCCGCGUGCAGGAUGAAGGCCUUCGGGUUGUAAACUGCUUUUGUACGGAACGAAACGGCCUUUUCUAAUAAAGAGGGCUAAUGACGGUACCGUAAGAAUAAGCACCGGCUAACUACGUGCCAGCAGCCGCGGUAAUACGUAGGGUGCAAGCGUUAAUCGGAAUUACUGGGCGUAAAGCGUGCGCAGGCGGUUAUGUAAGACAGUUGUGAAAUCCCCGGGCUCAACCUGGGAACUGCAUCUGUGACUGCAUAGCUAGAGUACGGUAGAGGGGGAUGGAAUUCCGCGUGUAGCAGUGAAAUGCGUAGAUAUGCGGAGGAACACCGAUGGCGAAGGCAAUCCCCUGGACCUGUACUGACGCUCAUGCACGAAAGCGUGGGGAGCAAACAGGAUUAGAAACCCGGGUAGUCCCA
rnacentral:rRNA from 1 species